GAUGAACGCUGGCGGCGUGCCUAAUACAUGCAAGUCGAGCGAACGGACGAGAAGCUUGCUUCUCUGAUGUUAGCGGCGGACGGGUGAGUAACACGUGGAUAACCUACCUAUAAGACUGGGAUAACUUCGGGAAACCGGAGCUAAUACCGGAUAAUAUUUUGAAACGCAUGGUUCAAAAGUGAAAGACGGUCUUGCUGUCACUUAUAGGUGGAUCCGCGCUGCAUUAGCUAGUUGGUAAGGUAAAGGCUUACCAAGGCAACGAUGCAUAGCCGACCUGAGAGGGGGAUCGGCCACACUGGAACUGAGACACGGUCCAGGCUCCUACGGGAGGCAGCAGUAGGGAAUCUUCCGCAAUGGGCGAAAGCCUGACGGAGCAACGCCGCGUGAGUGAUGAAGGUCUUCGGAUCGUAAAACUCUGUUAUUAGGGAAGAACAUAUGUGUAAGUAACUGUGCACAUCUUGACGGUACCUAAUCAGAAAGCCACGGCUAACUACGUG
rnacentral:rRNA from 1 species